UAAGAAAAUCAGUCUGGAAAUCCUUGCUUUAACAGCUAUAACUUCGACGUAUUUACAUCCCUUUGUAUUUUAGUCCAUCUGUGCUGUAUGAGUGAAGUCUUGCCCAAAAAUAUGACCUUUGAAUAAGCUUCAAAUACUCAGUGGGCCAGUUGGAACAAAUGUUCAUGCACAUCAAAGAACCCUUUUUUAAGAGAAUGAUCAGGAUGAAGG
rnacentral:lncRNA from 1 species